AACGAACGCUGGCGGCAGGCCUAACACAUGCAAGUCGAGCGAGAUCUUCGGGUCUAGCGGCGGACGGGUGAGUAACGCGUGGGAAGAUGCCUCUUGGUACGGAAUAGCCUCGGGAAACUGGGAGUAAUACCGUAUGUGCCCUUUGGGGGAAAGAUUUAUCGCCAAGAGAUUAGCCCGCGUUGGAUUAGGUAGUUGGUGGGGUAAUGGCCUACCAAGCCGACGAUCCAUAGCUGGUUUGAGAGGAUGAUCAGCCACACUGGGACUGAGACACGGCCCAGACUCCUACGGGAGGCAGCAGUGGGGAAUCUUAGACAAUGGAGGCAACUCUGAUCUAGCCAUGCCGCGUGAGUGAUGAAGGCCUUAGGGUUGUAAAGCUCUUUCAGCUGGGAAGAUAAUGACGGUACCAGCAGAAGAAGCCCCGGCUAACUCCGUG
rnacentral:rRNA from 1 species